UACAUUGCAAACAUUGAUUUUACACUAAGGCAAAAUAUGUCAAAGGCCAAACGCUCCUGGGGUUCUAAUUGGCCGACCAUAUUAAAAGCAGGACCAUUACUCGUGAUCCUGCAGCUUUCAAUCAAUCCAUUAGGAACAAAGUAGUUCAGUCAGAUUUAACUUUUGCUUGCUUGCAAAUUUUCCACAAAGGGAAGGGAUGGGGGAUGGGCUUCUCUGCAGAGAAGCAGAAGUAAGAAAGAAAGAAAUGAAAAACAGCAUCCAACAAAACAGCUAUCAUUUAAAUAUAAUCAUGGGCUUUCAGAAACAAGCUCUGAUGGUCUAACAAUGAUAGCAAAUGAAUGUACUGAACAGAAAGAGACUGAAUCAAGUCAUCAGUGGCUUUUGCAAAGUAGAAGAACUUGGAAGAUCCUUGCAUCAGACAUGAGUGGUCUGCAUCAACCAUCAAUAUAUACUAUCCUCAGGUUUUCUCUGUGUAACUGUAAAGACCGCUGUGUUUUAAGCCUAAUUCCACAAUGAAUAAAGGAGUGGUCUGCCUUCAUCAAAGA